rnacentral:lncRNA from 1 species
GCGAUGCCUGUGGGGACUCCUGAGCUGGGCAGGAGUCAGGACCUUCUCAGAGGAGGGGACAGGGGAGCUGGGCAGGUGGGGUGGGAGGAGGCUGGGGGAGAGGAGGUGGCAUCUGGAGACCCCAAGUCAACCUCAGCCUCCACCUCUCCCGCCCAGGAUGUGGGGUCCCGCUAUCCGCGCCCUGCUGAGAGGCCUGGCCAGGGUCUUCGAUGGUGAGCGCACUGUUCCUGGCCCCUGAGCCCGGCGGGUAUCCCUGCAGGUGACACAGGGGCCCUGGGAUGCCGCCCAGGUGGCAGCGUGACCCUCCCCUCCUUGCUGCUCAGGAGAAAACUAGCCGUCACUUCUGCACGGGCGCCCCCAUCCCCCGGACUGGAUGUUCACCGCCCCCACUGCAGGGUCAGGUGAGCGGGUGGCCCAGGCUCUGAGUCCAGCCCAGGGGUGGACCAGGUGGGAGGGCAGUGGCCCCAACUGUCCCCAACCCCUCCUGUCUCCGUGCCAGGACGUGACAUGGUGGUGGCUGCAGUUUGACCAGGGCUCUGAUGAGGCCGUGCAGCUCCUGAAGAUCACAAAGGUACCAGGCCCGAGGACAGGAGUUUGGGGACAGGAGCUUGACGCCAGGAGAUGCGCAGACCCCGCCGCUCCUGAGGUCUCACUGGGCUUGUGGUUGUCACCCUCCGGUUAUGACAACCCCGAUGACAACCCGUUCACCUUCUCCAGUGACAUCGCCCUGCUGAAGCUGGUCACGCCUGCCGCUUCGCACAGAGUGUCUGCCGUGUGGCUGCCCAGCGAGGACCAGGACUUCCCAUGGGGAGCUGUGUGCUACCACGGCCUGGGCAAGACCAGUCACACUGUGAGACCCUGGUGGCCACCAGAGUGGCCCGUAUGCCAGAAGAACAGAACCUGGACCCUGGUGGGCAUCACGUCCUGGGGCAGUGACACUUGCUCCACCUCCUCUCUCGUCAGGUACACCCGCAUCACUGCCUUCCUGCCUGGGUGCAGCAGAUCCUGGGGGCCAGCUGACCCCACAGACCCACCCUGCGCCCCUGGGCCUGAUCCCCGCAAAGCCUCAGUAAACCCAAGGUGCACGUCAUCUGUUUAGGGCCUCUUAAGGCUUCACCGUGCUCCUGAACUUGGCCUUCACCGGGCUCACCUGCCUCAGGCCAGUGUGGGUCACUGGGGUGCACUCAGCAUGGGCAGCAAGGACUCAGGCAGAAGUGGGCACAAGAAGGAAUGGUGGGCACUUGGUAAGGCCUAGGAUGAUCUGACCCCCACAUUCCACGUUCCCAUCCUGGGGGCAGCAGUCACCCCACCCGUCAUUCCACUGGAGAGCCCUGCUGCAGAGCACAGGCACGGCUGCGGCCCCUCAGAGCCCAAGGCCGUGAGAUACGGGUGAUGGCAAGCACGCUGGGUGGGCGCUUGGGAGGCAGUGGGCCGCACAGAGGCUCUCCCGGUUCCCUGCACCCUUUUGGCAGCAGCUUGUGAGCGGGAGGCCGGGCUCCCAGGGAGGGGAACAGGGCCAGAGGUACAAGCCUGAGACAUGGUGGGGCCCCAGCUCCCCCUGGUGGCCUCCCCUCACACCUGCCAACUACCUGUACACCCCUCUGGGCACCUUCUCCAGCUCCGUCCUUCGGCUGUGCCAGAUGUAAGCAGACAGCCCUGGUCCCCUCUCGUCCUGGUUCUGUCCAUCCACUCAGCCACGCACCCAGAAGCCGAGGCAGGGAGGCCACCUGGCUCCUUCACUUUCCAAGUCCGUGCCCAACUCGGCUGGUCCUGCCACGUCUGUCCCCAUAACCUGUCCUCCCCACGCUCUGGCUGCCACAUACCCUGGAGUGGGCAGCCAAGCAUUUGCAUCCCCAAGUGCCCAGGUCCACUCCUGCCACAGACUCAGGCCGUGGGAGCAAGGACCAUGGGCACCGGACAGCCCAGAAUCCUGUCCCAGGACCCUGAGCUCAGAGGGGACAGACACGCCCUGGGGUGCACAGCCGGUCAGAGGAGCUAGCUGUCCAUGGUAGAGCCCCCAGCCCAGGUGCCCUGGGUGUCAGGCCCCUCUACGAAGCCACCUGAGAGUGACUGCUGGCCUGGGUGUAUGAGCGUCCUCCCGGCAAGGGCCCUAGAUGUUGGGUGCCAGAGGCUUGGAAGUGCGGCUGCCUGUCCCUGCACCCCAAGCUGCAAGGUCUCUGCCAUCUACCCUGUGAUGGGCACAGGACUGAUGCUGUCCCUGGCUCCUGGCCCUGGAGGCUCCUGGCCCUCUACAGGGGAGACGGAGAUCCUCGGCAUGUGGGGGGCACUCUGGGCUGUCGGAAGCUGGGGGUGCUGCCCAAGUGGGAGCUGUGCUCCUCCCUGCCCCUCCAGCCUCUGCCUCCACCUCUGGGGUCCCUUGCUGGUGAGGACUAGGAUCACCCCAGCCCACUGUGGGUCAGGUGAGGUGCCCUGGGGGUCAGCGCGGGAGCCCCACCCUAACUGCUGCGGCCAGAAAGUGUCUGAGAAACUGCAUGCGGGGCAGAGCCGCCUCUGAGCCCCAGCCACAGGCAGAGCGGCAGCGCAGAGACCCCCACCCCACUCCACCUCCUCAGACCCUCAGGCCACCCAGACUGCAGCUGGGGGAACCUGGGCAGCCCUGUGCCCUCACUGCAGAUGCAGAAACUGAGGCCAAGUGAGAGUGGGCGGCCAAGCUGGGCUCACUCACCCGGCAGGCUGCCCAGACACCUGUGAGGCGCCAGCCGUGAGCCAGAGCGCAGGGCAAGGGGCGGGAGCAUUGACCUCUGCUGAGGAAGCCACUGCAGGGUGCCAGCCCCACAAGGAGACGUGUGCAGUGUCCAGCGAGCUCCUCGGUCCCCCUUGCCCUUGAGCAGCUCCAUGGCAUCCUCCUGCUCUCAUCUGAAUCCAGCCCCUGCACCCAGCCACAGCUGCUUCUGGUUAUAAAGCAAGGCAGCACAGCUCAGUGGCAGAGCAGAGCCUAACACGGGCGUAGGCCCGGGUUCAUCCCCAGGGGCACAGGCAAAAAUGAAGUUUUGCACACUGUUGAGAAACAUGAAAAUAUAAAAACCGAACACCAAGUAUGGUGGCGCCUGUCUGUGAUCCCAGCACUCUGAGAGGCUGACGCAGGAGGACUGCAAAUUCAAGCCCAGCCUGUACAGCCUGGUGACUCAGUAAGAUCCUCUUGAGAGAAAAAAUUUCAAAAGGGCUGGGGAUGCAGCUCAGUGUGAAGGUGGUGUUGAUCCCCAGGGCCAUGAAGAAAAAUACUGAACACCACUGCGUGUCACCUGCAGUUUCGUCUGGUCCCUCUUCUGGUCCUUUUUCUGCUACCAAGCCCCCUACACUUGAAUUCUCUACUCAGAGGUCUGCCCAGCCCCCACCCUGGUCCUGCCUGGGUUUCGACCACCUGCAGUGGACCAGCCAGCUGUUCACCUGGACACCUCGUGUAAGGCUGGCCACUGCCUGCCACCUUUCAGUCCGUCCCUAUGCCCACACGCCUGGCCCGCUAGGAACCACAGUGGGCUGGGCCAACACCUGGUCCCUACUGAGUGUCCCUACACGGGCUCUUUCAGGGUACAAGAUACUUUGGUUUUUACUCAAAAUCCCAAGCACAUGUGAGAACCGCAAGUCAUACAUUCUUGGAAUUAAAAAUCCACCAAACACAAAGAAAGACCAGAGCUCUCCCUGAAGAGAGCUCUAGGCAGAGCGGGGAGCCCCAG